rnacentral:rRNA from 1 species
AGCGAACGCUGGCGGCAGGCCUAACACAUGCAAGUCGAACGAACCCUUCGGGGUUAGUGGCGGACGGGUGAGUAACACGUGGGAACGUGCCUUUAGGUUCGGAAUAACUCAGGGAAACUUGUGCUAAUACCGAAUGUGCCCUUCGGGGGAAAGAUUUAUCGCCUUUAGAGCGGCCCGCGUCUGAUUAGCUAGUUGGUGAGGUAAAGGCUCACCAAGGCUACGAUCAGUAGCUGGUCUGGGAGGAUGACCAGCCACAUUGGGCCUGAGACACGGCCCAAGCUCCUACGGGAGGCAGCAGUGGGGAAUCUUGCGCAAUGGGCGAAAGCCUGACGCAGCCACGCCGCGUGGAUGAUGAAGGUCUUAGGAUUGUAAAAUCCUUUCACCGGGGAAGAUAAUGACUGUAGCCGGAGAAGAAGCCCCGGCUAACUUCGUGCCAGCCGCCGCGGUAAGAC